GUCGGAAAAGCUUGCUCCGGCGGCAGGCGGGCGGGGAGCCCUGGAGCAGGCUGCCCGGGAGGCUCCGCGCCUGGAGGACGUCCUCCUAGGCAGCAGAGGAAACAGCAUUUAGAAAAAAGCGGCUGUCAGAUGGUUAUGAAAAGGGGUUGGAAACCAGCCCUGAGAGCCGUUUCCAGCAAUGCGCUCCAGCUGGAAGACUGCAUCAAGCGGGGCUCCGUCAGGGGUCUGUGCUCAGGCUGGUGCCACGCGGUGUCUUCCUUAGUGACUGGGCUGAUGGGAGAGAGAGCAGAGCUGCUAGAUCUGCGGGUGCUGGCGGGAUGGCAGGGACAGCCAGAUGUGUCAGAAAGCAGGACUUCAAUUCAUAAUAAUCUCAACACAUGGGAGAAAGGGUCAAAAAAAAAAUCUAUGGGGCUAUUUGGCAUGCGCAAGUGCCAAGUCCUGCAUCCCUGUAAGACUCACCGGUAGCAUCAGUGCAAAUGAAGGAAACAACUGGGAAGCCACUGGUCUUACAGGCAAGGAUCCAAGGAUGAUAGCAGCUAUUAAAGGAUCCAAGGAUGGUAGCAGCUAUCAAAGGAUCCAAGGAUGAUAGCAGCUAUCAAACCAACCCUUGAUCAACAACAUCAUGCCUUUGCCAAAUGUGUGUGCCAUGAUCCCUCAGGACAGUCUCAGCUCUUCUCCUUUCAUCACUUCUUUUAAAGAGAAGGAUUUCAGGGGAGGGCUCUGAAACAAGAGAAACAGGACCCUUGCCAAGCCAGGAAAUGCAGAGUUAAAGGAUGCAACACCCCUGGCCAGGAUGGAGGAGCCAGCCAGUGUAGGGGGAGUAGGUUGGCUUGCGAUAUUGGGGAGAGACCCAAAGCAGGGUGGGGAGCAGAUGCAUCAUGAGAGAGCACGGAGCAGCUGGUCAUAUGCUAACAGCACCUGCUUCUCCAAGGACAACUUCCAUGCCCAGUCCUUGGGUGCAGCGUGCAGGAGCAGGGAGGAUCACGUGGCAUUUCCCCUUCAGCUGACUAAAGCAAGGGCUCUGUUUCAGCACAGCAUUUGCUAGGAGGGCCUCAGGGAGCUCCAGCAAACCAAAAGAUGGACACUAAGGGGAAAGUUGUCACUGGUGGCCAGUGAAUCACCCAGCUGACCCCGCUCUAGCCCUGCUUGCUAAGUGUGACCAAGAUGCUUAAAAGCAAAACUGCAACAGGCACGUUAUCUGCCAUGUGGCUUGUGUCUAAUAGUGCCAUAUGGCACAGGGAUAAAGGGCCACGUGGCAAGAACAUGCCCAUCAGGAGGAAAGUGCAGGGUGGAAGUGGAGGCAUCUAGGCUUGGUGUGAGGCUCACCGCCCGACAAGGGCGAAGGACAUAGGAACCAAGAAGGAAAGCAGUGCUGUACAUAAUCGGCAAGGGGACAGCAAGAAAACCUGGUCUCGCAACCGUGUAAGGUUCAACCUGAGAACAAGCAUAAUUUCCAGACUCCUGACGAAGGCAAGGCAGAAGGGUUUGCCUACAUCCUGACGACUCAGGCAUGUGGCUGCAGUUACCAUGCUUGCCUAUAUGAAUCAGGCAUUUGCGUAGGCUAUCAUCAAGGCUGCAUGUGCUAAUUAGCUGCAAAAUCAUGUUUGCGGCUUUACCUACAUGGUUUGGGGCUGAUUUUGAAAGCAGGCCCCUGGGAGCACCCAGUGUUCAAAGGGUUAUGUUUCUCAUUAAUAAAAGCACCUGGAUACCUUG